rnacentral:rRNA from 1 species
UACGUAGGGGGCAAGCGUUGUCCGGAUUUAUUGGGCGUAAAGAGCGUGUAGGCGGCCAUGUAGGUUCCGUUGUGAAAACUCGAGGCUCAACCUCGAGACGCCGAAUGGAAACCAUGAUGGCUAGAGUCCGGAAGAGGAGAGUGGAACUGCGAGUGUAGAGGUGAAAUUCGUAGAUAUUCGCAAGAACACCAGUGGCGAAGGCGGCUCACUGGCCCGGUACUGACGCUGAGGUGCGAAAGCGUGGGGAGCAAACAGG